GACGCGGUGGCCUAAUGGUUAGCGUGCUGGACUCGGGACCGAGCGGUCCGGGUUCGAGCCCUGGGCGGGGUGACUGUGUUG
rnacentral:tRNA from 1 species